AUCAAACCUAUAUUAAAUAAUCAGAAUUCAUAUGAAACUUCAUCAUUGAUACAAUGAACUAAAGAAUAAUAAAACCAUCCAAAUUGUAUGACAAUAUUUUAACAACUUCUAAACGUAGAAAAAAAUGCAUUCAAUGUACAUCAGAUAUCUUUAAACCACCCCAACAAAAUAAAUUUCUUGUAUUUCAACUUUUUCCUCUGCACUUUUUCAAGGAUUGAUAUUUCGAACUUCCAAAUUCUUGAUCUGCUACACUUUACUCGUAUAUGAUUUGUAUUAGAACUACUAGACCAUGCGAAGCAAUUUGCAGUCUAAAGUAAUCUUUAUUUGCAAAAUUGCAACUAAAGAUUAUCUCCAGAUGAUAUCUCAUGCUCAAUUCUAGGUAAGCCUUCACGGCACUUUGACUUUACCAAACAUGAUCCUUGCAGCUUGUUGGAUUAUGCCUUCAACAUCUCCAUAACUUGAGCAACCUUGAAAGUGUUAAACUUUGUUGAGAAUCGAAGAAAAUCUAGUGUAACCUGAAAGACACCGUUAUGAAGAAGCAAAUGCCUCUCCAUUAGAAUUGGACUUUACAUAGUUAGUGAAAUGUAAAUCUUCUAAUAUAAAGUAACAUAUGCAUCGUAAAAAAGCUACAACACUUAAAGAUUUGAAUCACAAUAUUAGGUGAUAUGUUACUACAGUUAGCUGAUGCAUGAAAGAGGAAAGUUAUAAUGAGUACAUAAACGUGUUUAGUAAGCAGAACAUAAAUAAUCACACAAUCAAGUGCUUUCACAGUUCAAUCAAGUGUUUAGUAAGCAACCCUCUUUGUGUUUAUCAGUAUAUAAAGAAUCACAUAAUUUCUUUUGCGAUUAACUGUCUAAGAAAUUGUUAAAUCUGAUUCAAGCUUUGAAAAAUAGGUUAUUAGCCCAUUCAUAUUUAUUGGAAGAGAAAAAAUAGCUCAUUCAUUAUUAUCAGAAGAGAAAAAAGAGCUCAUUCAUUAUUUAAAGGAGCGCAAAUUAUUAACUUGGUUUUAAAAGAGCUGCUGAAUCUGAUAUGAUAGGCAAAAUGUGGGAAAUAGGAAGCAGAAAUAAAGUUCUCCAGAAAUAGCAUGCACUACUCCACUCCCAUUAGGUAUAACGUUUUCGGUUCAAUUAACAAAACACAAUUAAAGAACUAAGAGACAACUAAAAACUAUGUAAAAAUUUAAAUCAAUUAACUCAAGAUGACAACAUGUCCAUUGUUAUAUUACUGUUAGUAGGCAAUCUUCAGUUUACUCAUGAAUUUUUCUAAAGUAAUUCUUCGAGCUUUAAUUAAUCCACUUCAGAUUAUAUCCUAAUUCUGCUCUUCCUCUUAUUAUUGCUUUUACUUUACUAAACGUGAUGAAUAGGCAUUAAUUUAUAGUUCUCAAUCUUUCUUUAAUGUCACUCAAAACAAUCUCCAGAGAUUUACGUCAACAGAAAUGUUAAGCACAAGAGCAUUUUAUUCCAUUACAAAUGAUCCAAAAAAAGAGAGCAUUUUAUUCAAUUAUAUAACAACAAGUAUCACAGAGCUCAAUGCAACAACUUAGACAAAGAAAAGAAUUAUAUGUGGAACUUAGUCAUUUGGUCAGGAUCCUUCUUCAAUAUACCCACUUUUCUCACUUUCUUCCUCUCUUUCUUGUUCUGGGGAAAUAUUAAAAAACAAAAAUAAAUAAAUUCCACAUAAACCCCACCUAAUAACUUGUUACGGGAUAUUCAAACAAACAGCUCUUCAUAAGAACCAUCCUUUAAUUUUCCUUUUGUUUCAAAUAGAUGUCUCAUAAGAUUCAAAGUUUGUCUGCAUGUACAUAAAAACGUAAAAUAUGCAAGUAAAAAUAAUAGGUUUGAAGGUUAUGUCCACAAAAGCAUAUAAGCAAAACAAUUGUAUCAUAUUACAAAUGAUAUAAACAUGUAGCCACUGCUAGAUAAUCGAUCUUUCCUAUCAGAGAAUUAAUCUCAUAAUUUUAGAGGAGUCCUAUAAUAAGGAUGAAGUAUAUGAAGCCAUAUUUAAGACAUUUAGAAUGAGGAUACAUGAACAUAUAUCUAUAACAGUUCAAGUGCAAGAAAAAUGUCAAUUAACAUAAAGCAAUCUACAUGAGAUUAUCAUCUCUUUUUUAUAAAUAGACCACAUUACCACAGUCUAAACAAAAGUUCCAAUUUUUUACAAUAAUAUGAAUAAAAGUGAAUCAAGAGAGAAAAUAUCUUAACAUUAAAAGAUUACCCAUGUUCUGUUGAGAUUAUUUAUGACUAAAUUCCAUAUGCUUUCUGAAGCAGACAUUCUUUGCUGAAAUCCAUUGAGCAAAUCUGAAGCACAAAAAUAUCUUGGAUGAUUAGUUUAAAUAAAUUAAACACUUUGAGACAUAGCUUCUUAAUUCAAAAACAACAUGAGAGACAUAAAUUUCUUCUAAUAGUUUAACUAUAUGAUAAGGGUAUCACUAUUUCUAUUUGGAUUUACGAAGCAGCAAUUACUUGGCAGCAAAAAUAGAUAACAUGGUAUUAUCUCUUUAUAUCUGAAGUUUUGAACAGCAGAGCUUAAAACUUUGUUUGGAAAAUUACAAGUUGUUCCAACAUGAGUUUCUGGUAAAGAAUUUUAACUCACACGUUCAGUUGUCUCUAUUCCCAUUAAGUUACAACAAUGUCUUGGCUGUCUCGCUGGAAAUAAGUUAAACAUACAUUAGAAAAGUUUUUAACUCAAAUAAUCCUGUCUCAAAUGUAAUUACCCUCUUUCCCGGCAUUUUAUGCUCCAAAUCCUAUCUUUUGAAGUCUUGCGAUUCCUUUGUAGCAGCAAAUCUCUAUAUUUUUUUUGUUUAUGAUCUCCUGAAAUAUAAGUAAGACAGAGGGAAUCGAAACAUAAAACAGAUUCGGAAAAUAUUUUUAAUAAAUGGAAAAAAGUUCAUCUAAGUGAACUGAUGAGCCAAAAUUGAGGUACACCCACCUUGAUUCGGAACUGAAAUUUUGAUAUUAAAGAGAGUCACUGCAUAUUAGUCGAAAAUCUAGAAAAGGCAAAUAUUUCUAAGCAAUUGAAUUCUUUACUACUCCAAAAAAUGUGUUGGUCUUUAGCAAGAUGAACCGGUGACCAUGCCACAAAAUAAAGAAAAUAGGACAGCAAAGAAUACAAGAAAAUAGAAUGGAACAAUUUUACUGUGAGAAGCAUGUAAAUCGGGUUAAAAGCAAUAAUUUCAGCACAAAUAUUCAUUAGUCUACUUUUCUAUAGUUCCACAUAUGUAAAACAAAAAGAUAACUGUUAUUCUUGAGUAACAAAUUCAAGUUCAACAGAAAGAACUACCAACGAAAUGGAGCACAAUGAAUUGACCCAUUUUUCUGAAAUUUUAUUAUUUUCUCUCUUUCUCCAGCUUUUCCCUAGGUCCAAGAUUUAAAAAUACCUUAACACUGUCGACGGUAUCUAAUUCCAGCAAUUAGAAUACAUGAAACAGAAGCUUUGAGCAAGUGCAAGAUCAAAUAAAAAAACUACUUAGAUUCAAAUUAACAAAAAAAACAUGGACAUGACCAUAAAUAUAGAAGGUUCACAUACCAGCUAAGCUCUCGGAAUACUAAUUUAGACAUAACGCAACCAGUAAGAUACAUGCUUCAAAAUUAACAGUAAAAGCAUUCAAUAGCAGAAAGGAUACUCUAAUUUCAGUAUGCACAAGGUGACGGAGAGAUUAAGUUAUAUUUGUGUAUGACUUGUGAUGCUCACCGAAAUUUCAUAACAAGUACUUUCAUCAUAUUAAAUCACUUAUGCUUCUGCAAAAGCUUUCAUCUCCAUCACCAACCUAUAUACUUUCUAUGAGAAAGAAAUUAAUUUGUACAUCUUACAUAGUAGUAGUAAAACUUAGUGGAUAAGAGACAGAAUAUCAGGAGGGUGCAGAAUCUAAACUAAACUCACACUCCCAACAGUUAUCUCACGUGGAUUAUAUAAAGGAAAGAUCUUUGGCAUAAUUAAAAAAAAAAUUCCCAAGUUUAAAGCAAGGCUCAAGGAACAAUAGAAUCCAUUAUUAGGGGAGCAAACUCUAAAAGAAUUGAGCCGUUCACUUUUAAAGGUAGACAACGCAAUAUCGGAAGAAUGUUCAGAAGUUUAAACAUCUAAAAGUGUUCCCCUUUCAUGAGUUACUAAUAAUUUGUUUGAUUUGUUUUCUUAUUGGUAAUGUAAAUAGCUCAUAGAGUAGAAAAUAAAUGCACACUUUAUAUUUAUCCCCAACAUUACAUAAGAAAUGCUACUCUGUUCAUCUUUAACUUCACCACAUAUAGUGAUUCAGUGUGGUUCUCCAAUUAUAUUUGGUUAGGAAGGAGAUUCUUUCAACACUUUUUGACUCAUAAUUGAGUCCCAGCGAGAAGAAUGACGAUUGCAAUGACGAGCAUUUUAAAAACAUUUACUGACCUGUAUAUUUGACAAAAAGAAACUAAGGAAAAAGAGGGCAGCCACGAAGCAAAAUCGAAAAUACAAGUUGCGAAAAUGCGGACGAAGCUGAAAUUAACAUAUGCCAGGGAGAACUCAUAACACCUGGUUAGCUGUUAGGCCUAAUUCUUUACUCAACUUCUCCUUUGCAUCAUGGUCAUGAUACUGAUUUUCCUUGAAGGAUUCGUAGAGCCUCUGUAACCCCAAAAGAAAUUGAGCUGAAGUGGGGAAAUGCAUGAAAACUAACAAAGAAUAUUCUUUUAGUAAAGUAAAGAAAUAAGUCGAUCAAUUGCUCUAAAUCACAAACUAGGUGGGUCUGCCAUAUGAAGCCUUCAGUCACAAUUCAUUCUAAAACUAAUCAAACUGUCUCUUCAAGCAAAUUCAAAAACCAUGAUAACAAAAAAUAAAAAUCAUACAUCCAUACAUCUUUUAAAAAUACUUUAUAUCAAGUAACCAACAGGGGAAAACAGCAAAGAAGGUCGGCUACUGGAUUCAGUGAAAUCGGUACCUCAGCAACCUAAACAUUAAUCAUGCACCUCUUUAAGAGUUGAAAGAGUAACAAUAGUUCACUAUAAUGACAAGUGCUUGACUGCUUUUACAACUUAAGCACCUAUUAUAAUGAUCAAUCUAUGGGGAAAAAUCAACUAAUCAUUUCCACAAAUACUGGACAACAAUUCUCUAUAAGAGAUUGUGAAAAAUUAAACAAAAUAUAAAAAGCCAUCACAAGAUAUAUUGCUACAAGUUGUGAACUGGAAACAUAACAAGUCAGUGAAGUAAAAACUCAAACACCAAGUUGAUAUCUAAAACUAAAUAGAUAUACCUUUAUGUAGUAACACCCAAAACAAUGCAAAUCAUUGUUAAGCUACGAUCGUCAAAACCACGACCUAAUUUUCACGCAUUGAGAUUUAUCCUUCUAAGGCUCUAAAUUUUUGUGAACCCAAUUGGAGAACGACGGAAUCUUUUACUCAACACAAAGGAAAACAGAAGUCAUGCCAUGAAAAAGGAGAAAGCCAAUGAAAAGGAGUAGAAUAGAUAGAGAUGAUGAUAUGGUGAUUACACAUUGAAACUAACCAUUCCGCAAAUUCAUAUUUCUUAAGCCCAGAUUUAAAUAAUCAAAAAAUUCUUAAGCCCAAAUUAAGAUAACUGAAAUCGAUCAUACAACAAAUUCUUGAUUCUAAACCGACCAUGCCACAAUUCUUGAACACCAACAUCACCAAAGUGAAACCCAAAUCACAACCCUAUUAAUUUGAACCAAAAUUAAUAUAUAAAAAGAGUAAAUUUUCUAAUCUUACCUUGAUGAGAAGAAACUCUAAACUAAGCAGUUGAUGCCGGCUGAGGUGACAAACGGUUUUCUCUUCUCCCAUAAAUAUCUGAUAGCAGUUUUAGGCUUUGAUCAGCAGUAGACUAAGGGUCUUUUUGGAGGGGAGUGGGGCGGGUGUAGG
rnacentral:lncRNA from 1 species